rnacentral:rRNA from 1 species
CUGGCUCAGGACGAACGCUGGCGGCGUGCUUAACACAUGCAAGUCGAGCGAGGACCACACCCUUCGGGGUGUGGAGCCGAGCGGCGAACGGGUGAGUAACACGUGAGCAACCUACCCCUGGCAUCGGGAUAGCCCCGGGAAACCGGGAUUAAUACCGGAUACGACCAGGGAGGGCAUCCUGCCUGGUGGAAAGGUUCCCCUCUCGUAAGGGAGGGGUUCCGGCUGGGGAUGGGCUCGCGGCCUAUCAGCUUGUUGGUGGGGUAACGGCCUACCAAGGCGACGACGGGUAGCCGGCCUGAGAGGGCGACCGGCCACACUGGGACUGAGACACGGCCCAGACUCCUACGGGAGGCAGCAGUGGGGAAUCUUGCGCAAUGGGCGGAAGCCUGACGCAGCGACGCCGCGUGGGGGAUGAAGGCCUUCGGGUUGUAAACCUCUUUCAGCAGGGACGAAGCUGACGUG